CACUCUCGCAACCUCGUGCGUUCGCUUCACGUCUUGUACAUUGACUGCGUUAAAUUUCUUUUAUUUUCCGUUACUAUGUCUUCAAAGAAGGCCAGAAAACAGUUCUGCCCCGGUUGCAAGUUCAGCAAGGAUUUUUACGAUUUCGGACCCAUGUCGAAGUAUUGUCCUGGCCCCGCAGAAGCCGAAUACAGCGACGACGAAGACGAGAGGCGAUAAUGGGGCAGCAGCCAGUCCCUCCAGCUCGGCCGGUAUUCUUAACGCUAUUCGCAGCCUGAGCGAACAAGUAGGUGAUCUCAGCGUAGAGCAAAAGGCACUGAAAGCUCGGGUUGCGGGUUGCGGGUAGCGAAGCCUCCGCCGCUUCUGGAGCUACAAACGGAUCCGAAACACAAGAAGGAGGAGGUGCCGCCAAAGGUAAAGGUUUUUAUACGUAUGUUGACUUUCCAAGUUUGUUACAUCGUAAACCGGGACAGCUCCGUGUAAGUUCAGACUCCAAGGAUUCGUCGCACUAUACAAUGGAACCAUUUGACCACUGCUGGAGGCUUGGUCACUCUACGAGAGAAAGCUCGCCGAACAAGACAACUCCAAGGAUUGUGUGAUAUCGCAAUAUCGUUCCAUAAUACAGAAAGCAAACAGAAAGUUCAAGUGGGGGCCGUAUACGAUUUCGACGUACAAUUUCGCACACAGUUGUCCACGGCGUCGAGAGAGAAGAGAUUGCAGCCUUCGGUGCUGUUGUGGGGACCACAGCAUGGCCGAUUGUUAACUCAAUACCAAGGCUUGAAUCUCCUUUCAAUCAGGACUUGGCGGAAUUCUUUACGUGAUUGUUGUGAUCCUGACUUCAUUUCUGAACUGUGUCACGACAUUACACAAGGAGUUCAUAUUGGUUUAACGGAACACGAUCUUUACGUAUAGAACGAAAUCACAUCUCAGCUAUUACGAACAGUAGCGCCGUGGCUCUCGAACUCGAGAAGGAGAUCGGUCUUGGUCGCAAGUCCGGUUCCUUUUUCGAACCACCAUUUUCUCGGAUCGCCGAUGGGCACAGUACCAUAAAAGCGCCCCAGCCCGCCUAAAUGGCGAAUUAUCAAUGAUUUAUCCUGGCCCGCCGGCCAUUCAAUCGACGACGGAAUACCAAGAGAUCUAUACUCUUGUACUUAUGAUUCCCUUGAUCAUGCUAUCAGUUACCUUAACCGCUUCGACAGAGGCACUCUCAUGAGCAAACUCGAUUUAUCAGACGCUUUCCGUCAUAUAUUAGUUCACCCCGACGAUUGGGAACUGUUGGGCUCUACGUGGCCUAUCGAAAUAAAUGGGGUCAUAAAGUAAGCUUAUUUUGUCGACUUAUCAUUCGGAUUACGGCCGAAUUUGUUUUUAAAAUUCGCCGAGUCGUUGCCCCUGAUUCAACAUGCGAAAACUAUCUUCAAGAAAUGCUAACCACUUGCGCCGACCUGCUUCUCGACUAACCCUGCCAAGAUGUUAAGCCAUGCACGAAAUUGGAACUUUUAGGUAUUGAGCUCGAUAGUGAGAAACAGGAGGCACGUAUCUCUGACAAUAGAUUACGGGAGAUUAUGGACCUGUUAUUAUCCUGGCAAUCACAGACAUCUUGUACGAAACGCAAGCUUCAAUCACUCAUUGGCAAAUUGAAUUUUUGUAAUGUUUGUCGACCAGGGAGAACGUUCCUGCGUCGUAUGAUCGACCUACUUUCCAAAGCGCGACGUCCUAAUCAUCAUAUUUGCCUGAAUAAGAAUUGUACUAAAGAUGUUCAUUGUUGGUUGAACUUUCUAAUGGAACGGACGUAGUAUAUUUUUUUAUGAGCAAUGGUUAACUAAUGAUUUCGUUUACAUUUAUACACGGACGCCUGCGCUACCUCUUUUGGGGGUCUGUUCGGGGACAUGUGGUUUUGUGACACUUUUGCGGCUAUGGGAAUUCCUACACGACGAUCGAUAACUUUUAAAGAAUUAUACGCCAUCACCAUGGCCGUGACGGUGGACAGACUUCGUUCUCUGCUACCGCAGGCACAACGUCUACCAACACCAGUAAAGCCUGGCUUCCAAAUGGUUGAGUCUGUCGUUUCGGUCGUAUCUGUAGUGUGAAAAAAAUAAUAUACGACAGAUACGACCAUAUGGAAACUCCAGACGCAACAGCCUGGUGCGACAGACCGGACCCGACACGACACAGAUGCGACACAGAUGGGCGUGAUGCAACCGCAUUUUGUAAAUGGAAACCAUUGCAAUCGACAAAUACAACAUAAACAUGGCGGCGGAGGAAGAAACACAUACGUGCUCUGUGUCGCUGUUUAUAUGGAAGCUCUGCAGCGAUUCGAAUGCCUCUAUAACAAAUUUUCCAAAGACAAGUUAAAUUGUUGGAAGAAGUUGGCCGAUCAAUUCGACAUAUCUGCCGACGAGGCGGAACGAAAAUACAAAAAAAGGACAUAAACAACCUAAGCUCCUCUCUUCUUCGGUACAUUGCUCGUACCCGAAAUCUGCGUGUUCUGCGUUCUCCUCUGUCCCUUCAACUUUUCUACUUCUACAGCCCGUUUAAGUAGAUAACAAGCCAAAAUUAUUUUCUCGUUUAUUUAUUUCCGCCAUGUUUCUCAUAAAUGGCGCGUAAACAGAUAAAGUAGGAGCGACAGAUACGACAUAUGGAAACCAGUAGUUGUAUGAGUUGCAUUGAGUUGUGUCUGCGCAGUCGGUGGGCAAGUUCCUGCGGCAAAUACGAGAGAAGCGACAGACGCAACCAUAUGGAAACCAGGCUUAAUACACUUAACUUAGAGAACUACAACUAAAAGCAGAUCAUUACUUCACCAAGUGUGUUUUUUUCCUACAAACCAAGAUAUAUCCCGCUCUACACUGUUAUAUGAACGCCUGCACUCACGCUUCCUAUGGUCCUACCAUCUGCUCGUUGUCCGAACAAUGCGCAUACAGCGCACGCACUGUUUGUAACGGCUUUUCAAUUCGUGCACAUUUUACGUAGAUAAACAUUGAUGUCAUUGAGUGUUAGUUUAACUGAGGAGUGGACUAACGGCAACCUUGGUUUACGAAACAAGUUUGUAUUAAACUGCAUUAAACACACUGAGUGUCCAAGAAUUGUAUAUCAGCUCCUGUCAAGUUGAGCACUAUUUUGGCUCCCGGUGAAAGACAACUGGAAUAUAUAUAUAUGAGAACACUAUGCUUCUAUUUAUUACUCAGUUAGCUAAACGCAUCUCGCCUCAAAGUAUUUAAGUCUACAUGGCUGGCAUUCGGGCCCUCCAGUCAAACAAAAAUUACCAAUCACGUUCGACCUUCUGUGUCGUAUGCGGAACUUUUUCGACUUUACUAACCAGGACGACAUUGUUUACUGGGCAGCAUACUACCGCACACUUUUUUUUUAUGUAGACAACCCCCGCUGGAAACAACCCCCGCUGGGGAGGAAUACAUGUCAGUACGCAUUAAGCGGUCUAAAACAGAUCAAAAGAGACGUGGAAUUAUCUUAUACACUGGACAUUCUAAGCACAAGGUCUGCGCCGUUUGCGCUAUGAAGGCGAAUCUCAAUAUCCAACAUACGCUUCAAAUGUUCAGGUCAUGAUCCACUGUUUCGGAUGUCCUCAGGAAAGACUUUGUCACGCAAAAACUUUACACACUUUGUUUGAGUUAUUUUACGCCUUCUAGGUAUUGAUCCUGAGACGCAACGCCUUCUAGGCUUUGAUCCUGAGAGCGCAACCUCGGCUUCCGUUGCCGGAUUACAUGAUUAUAAAAUUAAACUAAAAGACAGAUGGUCGUCUGACUGCUAUAAACGUUAUAUAAGAUCGCCGGUUAGUCUGUUUCUCGAUAUUGCUAGGCAGAUUUCUAGCACCUACGAUGUAACAUACCAGUACGCCUCCCAUUUUUCUCCUUACUUAAUAUUUCUUUCUGCAUAUUUGGGCCUCUUUUGGACAGUUGUAAUGGGUUCAAAUAUACAAUAUUAUAUUGUUCUGAAGUGGUCCAAACCUCGCGUGUUAUGCUCAUGAUUAUUAUAGAGAAUGUACAUUAAGUAAUAUUAAUAUAGUUAAUCAAGUUUAAUGGGAAAGAUACGGUAGGGUUGUA